GCACAUUCACACACACAAUGGAAACAUGAACAGCUAGACGUGCUAAUGAAACGUAAAAUACUACUGCUUUUACUACUGUUGAUGUUUGGUGCAGCCAUCUUGCGUUCUGAACUUGUGGGUUUAUUUCAGUUGAAAUGUUCUACUUAGAACUUGGAAAUUUCCAGUUCUGAAUUCCUACUUCAGAUGGAAUGCAGUAUAAGGAUUCACAUUAGUGCUCGACCCAACCUGCCCCAUACACUGUCAUUUUGAGCCAAAGCCCGAAUUAAACCUGACAUUUUUUGAGUAAGUAGAGCAUUAAAACUGAGCUUUUAAAAAACAUUUUCGUUCUGUUUAGAAUGAGUGAAGAAUGAAUAAGACCUAUUAUUUAAGAAAAAUAUUAUUAAUUAUUAGGAACAGAUCUCCAAAAGAUUAUAACAUGAACAAUGCAAACAAUGAUCCAAAGGCCUAAACAUUAGGCUACAACAAUGUCUGAAUGACUUUCCUCUAAUCUAGUAUAAUAUAACAUGGUUUAAGAAAAUAAAAUAAAUUCUUUUAUAAUUUUAUUUAUAUUUUUUUCCCAUUUUCUCCCCAAUUUACACAGCCAACCCACUCGUUAGGACUCCCCCUAUCACUAGUGAUGCCCCAACACACCAGGAGGAGGAAGACUAGCACACUCUUUCUCCGAUACAUGUGAAGUCAGCCACCGCUUCUUUUCGAGCUGCUGCUGAUGCAGCAUUGCCAAGGAGCCAGCACAUUUGGAGGAAAGCGCAGCGGCAGGUGAACCCAAGGAACCUGAGGAAAGUGGUGGGAAAUCUCGAGCCAGUGACAUGUUGAACUACACUGCCAGUUUGAGGGAAUGUCAUUGCCAUCAAAUUCAGAAGGUGAACCACAUGACUCCUCAGAGGUGCAGAGCUUCUCUCAGCUUAA